rnacentral:lncRNA from 1 species
AUUCUCCUUGCUUGAGGUAGCUGCUCCCUUAUUUUCAUCAAUAUUUGUGCUCUAGGGAUGUUCAAGGGAGUGUAGUUGGUGAACCUUCGUGACGACGACAUGUGUCGUUGACCUCUAGAGGGACUUCUGGGUCAUUGGUUGCGAGGAGUUGUGGAUUGCUGACAUCAAGGUGGAGUCUUGGAUCAUUGCUGAUCUUCUCACCUUGACAAGAUUUUUUUAUCUUUUCCUCCCUUCUUUUCUUUAGGUGUAACAUUAGCUGAGGUCCCAUGCAGUUCAAUGGCUUCCUCAGUGC